ACGCUGGCGGCAGGCUUAACACAUGCAAGUCGAACGAUGACUCUCUAGCUUGCUAGAGAUGAUUAGUGGCGGACGGGUGAGUAACAUUUAGGAAUCUACCUAGUAGUGGGGGAUAGCUCGGGGAAACUCGAAUUAAUACCGCAUACGACCUACGGGUGAAAGGGGGCGCAAGCUCUUGCUAUUAGAUGAGCCUAAAUCAGAUUAGCUAGUUGGUGGGGUAAAGGCCCACCAAGGCGACGAUCUGUAACUGGUCUGAGAGGAUGAUCAGUCACACCGGAACUGAGACACGGUCCGGACUCCUACGGGAGGCAGCAGUGGGGAAUAUUGGACAAUGGGGGCAACCCUGAUCCAGCCAUGCCGCGUGUGUGAAGAAGGCCUUUUGGUUGUAAAGCACUUUAAGCAGGGAGGAGAGGCUAAUGGUUAAUACCCAUUAGAUUAGACGUUACCUGCAGAAUAAGCACCGGCUAACUCUGUGCCAGCAGCCGCGGUAAUACAGAGGGUGCGAGCGUUAAUCGGAAUUACUGGGCGUAAAGCGAGUGUAGGUGGCUCAUUAAGUCACAUGUGAAAUCCCCGGGCUUAACCUGGGAACUGCAUGUGAUACUGGUGGUGCUAGAAUAUGUGAGAGGGAAGUAGAAUUCCAGGUGUAGCGGUGAAAUGCGUAGAGAUCUGGAGGAAUACCGAUGGCGAAGGCAGCUUCCUGGCAUAAUAUUGACACUGAGAUUCGAAAGCGUGGGUAGCAAACAGGAUUAGAUACCCUGGUAGUCCACGCCGUAAACGAUGUCUACUAGCCGUUGGGGUCC
rnacentral:rRNA from 1 species